UACGUAGGGGGCGAGCGUUGUCCGGAUUUACUGGGCGUAAAGGGUGAGUAGGCGGUUGUAUAUGUCAGAUGUAAAAGGCACAGGCUUAACUUGUGUAAGCAUUUGAAACUGUACAACUUGAGUGCAGGAGAGGUAAGUGGAAUUCCUAGUGUAGCGGUGAAAUGCGUAGAUAUUAGGAGGAACACCAGUGGCGAAGGCGACUUACUGGACUGUAACUGACGCUGAGUCACGAAAGCGUGGGUAGCAAACAGG
rnacentral:rRNA from 1 species